AUUGCUUCUUGGCCUUUCGGCUAAGAUCAAGUGUAGUAUCUGUUCUUAUCAGUUUAGAGACAGUAUACUGCAAUAUUCAUUUAACUCGAACUCAUUAAAAAUUACUUAAUGAGCAUUGUAUUAUCACAUAAGUUUUAACGUACUCUCUAAUUCUUGAAUUUGUUUUCUAUAACUCAAAUUAAGUUCUGUCAAU